UACGUAGGGGGCUAGCGUUGUCCGGAAUCAUUGGGCGUAAAGAGCGUGUAGGCGGCCCGGUAAGUCCGCUGUGAAAGUCGGGGGCUCAACCCUCGAAUGCCGGUGGAUACUGUCGGGCUAGAGUGCGGAAGAGGCGAGUGGAAUUCCUGGUGUAGCGGUGGAAUGCGCAGAUAUCAGGAGGAACACCGGUGGCGAAGGCGGGAUCCUGGGCCAGUACUGACGCUGAGGAGCGAAAGCGUGGGGAGCAAACAGG
rnacentral:rRNA from 1 species